GGCCUACCAUGGUGGUAACGGGUAACGGGGUGUUAGGGCACGACACCGGAGAGGGAGCCUGAGAAACGGCUACCACAUCCAAGGAUGGCAGCAGGCGCGCAAAUUACCCAAUCCCGACACGGGGAGGUAGUGACAAUAAAUAACAAUACGGGGUUCUUUCGGAUCUCGUAAUUGGAAUGAGUACAAUUUAAAUCUCUUAACGAGGAACAAUUGGAGGGCAAGUCUGGUGCCAGCAGCCGCGGUAAUUCCAGCUCCAAUAGCGUAUAUUAAAGUUGUUGCAGUUAAAAAGCUCGUAGUUGAAUUUCGGGAUCAAAUUGUCGGUCGUGCCUCGGUACGUACUGGCGUUAUUGGUUCCUCCCUUCUGAAGAACCGCGAUGUCAUUAAUUUGGUGUCGCGGGAAAUCAGGACUGUUACUUUGAAAAAAUUAGAGUGUUUAAAGCAGGCUCGCGCUUGAAUACAUUAGCAUGGAAUAAUGAAAUAGGACGUUUGAUUCUAUUUUGUUGGUUUCUAGGAUCGAUGUAAUGAUUAAUAGGGAUAGUUGGGGGCAUUAGUAUUCAAUUGUCAGAGGUGAAAUUCUUGGAUUUAUUGAAGACUAACUACUGCGAAAGCAUUUGCCAAGGAUGUUUUCAUUAAUCAAGAACGAAAGUUAGGGGAUCGAAGACGAUCAGAUACCGUCGUAGUCUUAACCAUAAACUAUGCCGACUAGGGAUCGGAUGAUGUUAAUUUUUUAAUGACUCAUUCGGCGCCUUACGGGAAACCAAAGUGUUUGGGUUC
rnacentral:rRNA from 1 species